rnacentral:rRNA from 1 species
UACGGAGGAGGCAAGCGUUAUCCGGAAUUAUUGGGCGUAAAGCGUCCGUAGGUGGCUAGUCAAGUCUGCGGUCAAAGACUGGGGCUUAACCCUGGAAAGGCCGUGGAAACUGACGAGCUAGAGUGCAGUAGGGGUAGAGGGAAUUCCCGGUGUAGCGGUGAAAUGCGUAGAGCUCGGGAAGAACAUCGGUGGCGAAGGCGCUCUACUGGACCACAACUGACACUCAGGGACGAAAGCGUGGGGAGCGAACCGG